GGUUCCAUGGUGUAAUGGUGACCACUCUGAAUCCAACGAUCUGAGUUCAAAUUUCAGUGGGACCU
rfam:Danio rerio chromosome 4, GRCz11 reference primary assembly.